rnacentral:rRNA from 1 species
AGUCUAUUCAGAGGAACUUGUCCUAUAAUCGAUAGUCCACGAUUUUAUUUACUUAUUUUUUUAAUUUACAUAUCGUCGUAGUUUGAAUAUUUUAAUAGAAAUUUAAAUAUUCAAUAUUCUUAUUGGAAGGAAUUCAGAUCAAGGUGUAGUUUAUAAAUAAGAAGAGAUGGGUUACAAUAAAAUUUAUUUAUACAGUUAAGUAUUUUUAAUAUUACUUAUAAGGUGGAUUUGAUGGUAAUUUUUUUAAAAUUUUAAAAAUGAUUUUAGCUCUAAAAUAUGUACAUAUCGCCCGUCGCUUUCACUUUAAGGUGAAAUAAGUCGUAACAAAGUAGGUGUACCGGAAGGUGUACCUGGAAAAUC